rnacentral:rRNA from 1 species
GCUUGGGCGUGCCUCCACCCACGCCGGCGUCGGCGGGCGUAUUUCGCCUCACAGUAGGUCGCCGCGACCCGUUGCUUUUGGGGACGUCGAAGGCCCGGACGGAUUGGUACCCUACCGGCUGGGGAUGCGGCUUCGGCUUCUCCUCUUGUCCGGUGGGCGAAACCGCCGGUGUCCUGGCUGCCCUGCGACGGUCGUAGAGACGAGCCCUCCCCUUCGGGGGGGCGGCUCUCGCGGCGUGCAAAAGGUCGGUGAUCCACCCGACCCGUCUUGAAACACGGACCAAGGAGUCUAACAUGUGUGCGAGUCAGUGGGCGCACUAAACCCAGAGGCGUAAUGAAAGUGACACGGGUUCGGCUGUCGCCUCGUGUGGCAGCCGGACUCAGGGCCGAUCCCUCACCGGUUGCCCUCGCCUCUCUCCCGCGUCUCGGUAAGCCGGGUGAGCUAUUUUCCCCGGCCGCUGCUGCGGGGCGCGGGGGGAGGCGGGGUGCGAUGGUGUCCGUAAAAAAGAGCCUGCUGUUGCAGGGGGGCGCAGGCCCGGGACUUGCCAGGACGCCGCGAGACUGUCACUUUGCUGUGAGGCUCUCGGGCCGAUCAGCGGGUCAUGCGUGCAGUCGGCAAGUACCAUGAGCAGACAUGUUGGGACCCGAAAGAUGGUGAACUAUGCCUGGCCAGGAUGAAGCCAGAGGAAACUCUGGUGGAGGUCCGUAGCGAUUCUGACGUGCAA